rnacentral:rRNA from 1 species
AGCUCUCCGAGUGGUGUGGACGUUUAUUGGGCCUAAAGCAUCCGUAGCUGGCUGAACAAGUCCCCUGUUAAACCCACCGAUUUAAUCGUUGGUCUGCGGGGGAUACUGCUCGGCUAGGGGACGAGAGAGGCAGACGGUAUUCCCGGGGUAGGGGUGAAAUCCUAUAAUCCCGAGAAGACCACCAGUGGCGAAGGCUGUCUGCUAGAACGCGCCCGACGGUGAGGGAUGAAAAGCUGGGGGAGCGAACC